GUGCUCCCCCGCCAAUUCCUUUAAGUUUCAGCCUUGCGGCCGUACUUCCCAGGUGGUAGGCUUACUGGCUUCCCUGCGGCACUGGGACAGCUCGUAGCCGUCCCAACACCUAGCCUACAUCGUUUACAGCUGGGACUACCGGGGUAUCUAAUCCCGUUCGCUCCCCCAGCUUUCGUCCCUCACCGUCGGGCGCGCUUUAGUCGGCCGCCUUCGCCACUGGUGGUCCUCCCGGGAUUAUAGGAUUUCGCCCCUACCCCGGGACUACCGCCGACCUCCCUCGCCCCCAAGCCGAAGAGUAUUCCCCGCAGCCCGACGAUUGGAUCGUCGGAUUUAACGGGGAACUUUUCCGGCCGGCUACGGACGCUUCAGACCCAAUAAUCGUCCCAACCACUCGGGGAGCUGGUAUUACCGCGGCGGCUGACACCAGACUUGCCCUUCCCUUAUUCACCCGGCUAGUUAUACCAGGCAAAAGCCAUCCUCAGCGGACGGCACUCGGGAUGACCCCGUCACGCUUUCGCGCAUUGCGGAGUUUUCGCGCCUGCUGCACCCCGU
rnacentral:rRNA from 1 species